CGGCGUGCUUAACACAUGCAAGUCGAACGGAAAGGCCCUGCUUUUGUGGGGUGCUCGAGUGGCGAACGGGUGAGUAACACGUGAGUAACCUGCCCUUGACUUUGGGAUAACUUCAGGAAACUGGGGCUAAUACCGGAUAGGAGCUCCUGCUGCAUGGUGGGGGUUGGAAAGUUUCGGCGGUUGGGGAUGGACUCGCGGCUUAUCAGCUUGUUGGUGGGGUAGUGGCUUACCAAGGCUUUGACGGGUAGCCGGCCUGAGAGGGUGACCGGCCACAUUGGGACUGAGAUACGGCCCAGACUCCUACGGGAGGCAGCAGUGGGGAAUAUUGCACAAUGGGCGGAAGCCUGAUGCAGCAACGCCGCGUGCGGGAUGACGGCCUUCGGGUUGUAAACCGCUUUCGCCUGUGACGAAGCGUGAGUGACGGUAAUGGGUAAAGAAGCACCGGCUAACUACGUGCCAGCAGCCGCGGUGAUACGUAGGGUGCGAGCGUUGUCCGGAUUUAUUGGGCGUAAAGGGCUCGUAGGUGGUUGAUCGCGUCGGAAGUGUAAUCUUGGGGCUUAACCCUGAGCGUGCUUUCGAUACGGGUUGACUUGAGGAAGGUAGGGGAGAAUGGAAUUCCUGGUGGAGCGGUGGAAUGCGCAGAUAUCAGGAGGAACACCAGUGGCGAAGGCGGUUCUCUGGGCCUUUCCUGACGCUGAGGAGCGAAAGCGUGGGGAGCGAACAGGCUUAGAUACCCUGGUAGUCCACGCUGUAAACGGUGGGUACUAGGUGUGGGGUCCAUUCCACGGGUUCCGUGCCGUAGCUAACGCUUUAAGUACCCCGCCUGGGGAGUACGGCCGCAAGGCUAAAACUCAAAGGAAUUGACGGGGCCCCGCACAAGCGGCGGAGCAUGCGGAUUAAUUCGAUGCAACGCGUAGAACCUUACCUGGGUUUGACAUGGAUCGGGAGUGCUCAGAGAUGGGUGUGCCUCUUUUGGGGUCGGUUCACAGGUGGUGCAUGGCUGUCGUCAGCUCGUGUCGUGAGAUGUUGGGUUAAGUCCCGCAACGAGCGCAACCCUUGUUCACUGUUGCCAGCACGUUAUGGUGGGGACUCAGUGGAGACCGCCGGGGUCAACUCGGAGGAAGGUGGGGAUGACGUCAAGUCAUCAUGCCCCUUAUGUCCAGGGCUUCACGCAUGCUACAAUGGCUGGUACAGAGAGUGGCGAGCCUGUGAGGGUGAGCGAAUCUCGGAAAGCCGGUCUCAGUUCGGAUUGGGGUCUGCAACUCGACCUCAUGAAGUCGGAGUCGCUAGUAAUCGCAGAUCAGCAACGCUGCGGUGAAUACGUUCCCGGGGCUUGUACACACCGCCCGUCAAGUCAUGAAAGUUGGUAACACCCGAAGCCGGUGGCCUAACCGUUGUGGGGGAGCCGUCGAAGGUGGGACUGGUGAUUAGGACUAAGUCAUAAC
rnacentral:rRNA from 1 species